AUUGAACGCUGGCGGCAGGCCUAACACAUGCAAGUCGAGCGGAGCGGCGGACGGGUGAGUAAUGCCUAGGAAUCUGCCUGGUAGUGGGGGAUAACGUCCGGAAACGGGCGCUAAUACCGCACACUAUCAGAUGAGCCUAGGUCGGAUUAGCUAGUUGGUGGGGUAAAGGGCUACCAAGGCGACGAUCCGGAACUGGUCUGAGAGGAGGAUCAGUCAAACUGGAACAGAGACAGGGUGCAGACUCCUACGGGAGGAAGAAGUGGGGAAUAUGGGCCAAUGGGCGAAAGCCUGAUCCAGCCAUGCCGCGUGUGUGAGGAAGGUCUUCGGAUUGUAAAGCUCUUUAAGUUGGGAGGCGUUACCAACAGAAUAAGCACCGGCUAACUUCGUGCCAGCCGCCGCGGUAAUUC
rnacentral:rRNA from 1 species